UCCUACGGGAGGCAGCAGUAGGGAAUCUUGGACAAUGGGCGCAAGCCUGAUCCAGCCAUGCCGCGUGAGUGAAGAAGGCCUUAGGGUCGUAAAGCUCUUUCGCCUGUGAUGAUAAUGACAGUAGCAGGUAAAGAAACCCCGGCUAACUCCGUGCCAGCAACCGCGGUAAUACGGAGGGGGUUAGCGUUGUUCGGAAUUACUGGGCGUAAAGCGCGCGUAGGCGGAUUGGAAAGUUAGAGGUGAAAUCCCGGGGCUCAACCCCGGAACGGCCUUUAAAACUCCCAGUCUAGAGUUCGAGAGAGGUGAGUGGAAUUCCAAGUGUAGAGGUGAAAUUCGUAGAUAUUUGGAGGAACACCAGUGGCGAAGGCGGCUCACUGGCUCGAUACUGACGCUGAGGUGCGAAAGUGUGGGGAGCAAACAGGAUUAGAUACCCUGGUAGUCCACACCGUAAACGAUGAAUGCCAGUCGUCGGAUAGUAUACUAUUCGGUGACACACCUAACGGAUUAAGCAUUCCGCCUGGGGAGUACGGUCGCAAGAUUAAAACUCAAAGGAAUUGACGGA
rnacentral:rRNA from 1 species